UCAAUUUCCCUGAGUUGCGGUGAUUUAUUGAAUAAUAAUUCUGUGCUGUGAACAUAUUUUUAUUUAUUUUAUUUAAAAUAUUUUUACCCCACCUUUCUCCUUGAAAUGAAUGCAAGGUGGUGUACGUCAUUAAAAGGACAAUAUUUAAAAGCUAAAAAAAAAAAAAAAAAUCAAUAGAUAUACAAUAUUAAAAUGAACUGAACAAGUAGUACAUUAAAAGCAGUCAUAAAAUCAAUUCAAUUCAGAGUUUUUCAGAUAAUGAAUACUCCCCAAUAGAUAUACAAUAUUAAAAUGAAUUGAACAAAUAUUACAUUAAAAGCAGUCAUAAAAUCAAUGCAAUUCAGAGUUUUUCAGAUAAUGAAUACUGAGAAGUGCUUCACCGUUCACUUCUUCUGGAGGAGCCAUGAGGCUGUGCAGCUGGCCCAAGGCCACCCAGGCUGGCUUUGUAUGCGUAGGAGGCACAAGGAGGGAAUCGAACUCUGAGCCUCUGGCUGCAUAAACGACUGAACUAUCCGUCCAGCUACGAUGUCUCCAAAUAUCUGUUUCUGGGGACGUGAGACGGAGGGUUUUGCUGGGCCCACCUCCAGGGCUUCCCUUUGGAGGGCCCUCUGAUUGGAGACUAUGUGAAUAGGAUGCUGGCCUCCGCUGGGCUGUAGCUUCAUCUUUCCCCCUGCUUUGGACGAGAGAAGCAAGACUUUUCACGCUGUCUCCCUGCCAAAGCCAAGGACCCUUCUGUUUGGAUUCGCUACAAUGGGCCCUUGUAUUCUUUGGCACCGGCUGUCUCUCGGCUGCCCAUCGACGCUGCCUCCGCCAACAAUAACUGCUUUAUCUUUGCCGGUGCCCUGGGUUCAAAGUGGGUUGGAAAGGCCGGGAAUGGACGCGACGGGAACAGGGAUGAGAACGGGACCCGCAUGUCGCCUGGGUGGGGAGAGAGAACUCUAUAAAGGCCAGCAGUCCCAUGGAGGCGAAAAGUCUACUAGCAUCUCAGCAUGUCCUAUGGUAGAGAAAGGAAAAAGUGGAAGAUGGAGCUCUAUGUGCUUUGGCUGAGUUUUGCCUUCCUUCGCGCCGCCCAGGCGGUGAGCUACGACUCGGAUCGUUGCAGCCCAAAACAGGCCUUUGGAGACUGGCUUAUGCACGCCUUUGCCACGGACUGCAAGUGGUUCAUGAAAUACCUGGACGACAUGACGAUGGUCGUCGUCAAUUUACGUGAGACGGAAAGCGGAGGGAUCUACAUCGCUUCCAAGUUCCCAACCCCCUUCGGGUGCCAGAGCCUUGAGCUGGAAUUCAAGAGACAGGAAGAUGGGUCGUACGUCCACACAUCAGGAUGGGGUGAGGAAAAGAUAGAAAAGAUCAUGACAGAUUGCGAUACCUACACCAUUGUCACCAUCGCGAAGGUCAGGGGUGGGGUGACCUCCAGAUAUGCGGUACUUUAUGCCAGGGAGACCCAGGUGCGAAAGGAAGCUGAACAGAAAUUCCUGGACUAUGUGCAUCAUGAGCUGGGCUUUAAGGAGGAAAACAUUCAGAUGUUUGGUGACGAAGUGGCCUGCGCGGAAGGUCGUUAGGUGAGUUUUUGAAGGCACCGACACUCAAUUUUGGGCAAAAGCGUUCGCUGGCCUGAACCUUCGGGUCUUCUCGGUCAAGCGUGACAAAAACACACACACACACACCGGUGCUUUUCCAAGGCCAUCGGUCUGAAUAGAGAAAAGGCUGGGUGGUAUUGGCUUGUUCCUGUGACGUCACCACCAGAGGUUACGAUCUGAAGCACUUUUGCCUGUUCAUUGUGAUUCGAGGGAAGAGGGUGGUGGAGGGGAUGUAAGGUGAACAAGACAAGGAAAGAGCAUUGGCCCUUUUUUGAGUGAAAGACAGUGAAAGAAUCUAAGUUUGAUCUAAGAAAACCAGAGACACUGGCUCAUCCCUCAAGUUCCCUGUCUCACAGGUUCCUCAGAAGACUCAGCGCUGCUGGCUGUGGGUUUGGAAGUGUCCAUGGUGUCCAGUUCGGGCCUCCGUGCGAGAUUCUGAGCAUCGAACGCUGUCGUCCUGCUUAAUAAAUAGAUUCGGAAAAUGCA
ensembl:lncRNA lipocalin-15-like